rnacentral:rRNA from 1 species
AGUGAACGCUGGCGGUAGGCCUAACACAUGCAAGUCGAACGGCAGCACAGUAAGAGCUUGCUCUUACGGGUGGCGAGUGGCGGACGGGUGAGGAAUACAUCGGAAUCUACUUUUUCGUGGGGGAUAACGUAGGGAAACUUACGCUAAUACCGCAUACGACCUACGGGUGAAAGCAGGGGAUCUUCGGACCUUGCGCGAUUGAAUGAGCCGAUGUCGGAUUAGCUAGUUGGCGGGGUAAAGGCCCACCAAGGCGACGAUCCGUAGCUGGUCUGAGAGGAUGAUCUGCCACACUGGAACUGAGACACGGUCCAGACUCCUACGGGAGGCAGCAGUGGGGAAUAUUGGACAAUGGGCGCAAGACUGAUCCAGCCAUACCGCGUGGGUGAAGAAGGCCUUCGGGUUGUAAAGCCCUUUUGUUGGGAAAGAAAAGCAGCAGGUUAAUACCCCGCUGUUCUGACGGUACCCAAAGAAUAAGCACCGGCUAACUUCGUG